rnacentral:rRNA from 1 species
GAUGAACGCUGGCGGCGUGCCUAAUACAUGCAAGUCGAGCGAACAGACGAGGAGCUUGCUCCUCUCACGUUAGCGGCGGACGUGUGUGUAACACGUGGAUAACCUACCUAUAAGACUGGGAUCACUUCGGGAAACCGGAUCUAAUACCGUAUAAUAUAUUGCACCGCAUUGUGCAAUAGUGAAAGACGGUUUUGCUGUAACUUAUAGAUGGUUACGCGCCGCAUUAGCUAGUUGGUAAGGUAACGGCUUACCAAGGCAACGAGGCGUAGCCGACCUGAGAGGGUGAUCGGCCACACUGGAGCUGAGACACGGUCCAGACUCCUACGGGAGGCAGCAGUAGGGAAUCUUACGCAAUGGGCGAAAGCCUGACGGAGCAACGCCGCGUGAGUGAUGAAGGUCUUCGGAGCGUAAAACUCUGUUAUUAGGGAUGAACAAAUGUGGAAGUAGCUAUGCACGUCGUGACGGUACCUAAUCAGAAAGCCACGGCUAACUACGUG